rnacentral:lncRNA from 1 species
CUAUAGCCCUUCAUUCACGAAUCUCAGUGCAUUUCACAGAGUGCGGAGUCUUAUAUUCUAGACAAGGGAAUCACGUUGAAGAACUUCUAUUCAUGGACUGAUCGUAUCGAUGAGCUAUUUAGGCUCAUCAACAAGAUUGCCAUUAUGGCAAUCCAAUUUCUGUUGGACUUUCAACGGGCAGGAAACUCUUGAAUAAUAUCAUCAAAUCUACGAUGCUUUUUUUACCGGAGCUUUGAAAGUCUCUGUUUGGUUGUUAAUUGUUACAUUACAUCUGCAAUGUAAACGUGCAGUGCACAAAGGAAGCUCUGCUGGCAUGCCUAUGGCGCAGUCCGCCCUUAAGAACAACUAGCUAGUGUACUCUCAAUAUGCCGGAGUCGCCUUACAAACGGCCCAGGUUGGUGUCGCCCUAUGGUGCUCCAAGUCCUGGUGUGAGUCCAGCAGGUAUGCAGAUCGUCUCUAGCGCGCCAGAUAAAGGGCAAGAUCUCAUUGAAUUCUUUGCCAGUCGGAGCGAGCGUGCAAGGAAUCAGGAUGAAAAGAUCAAAGAGCUGAAUAGCUCCAUGGAGAGGCUUGAAACCUCACUCAAGAGAGCGCAUGCAACCAUCGACUCCCAGAAG